CCUACGGGUGGCAGCAGUGGGGAAUAUUGCGCAAUGGGCGAAAGCCUGACGCAGUGACGCCGCGUGAGGGAUGAAGGUCUUCGGAUCGUAAACCUCUGUCAGCAGGGAAGCACGGUCACUGUGCUAAUCAGCAGUGAAUUGACGGUACCUGCAAAGGAAGCACCGGCUAACUCCGUGCCAGCAGCUGCGGUAAUACGGAGGGUGCGAGCGUUAAUCGGAAUUACUGGGCGUAAAGCGCUCGUAGGCGGUAUGUCAAGUCAAGGGUGAAAUCCCCGCGCUAAACGUGGGAACUGCCUGUGAAACUGGCAAACUGGAGUGUGUGAGAGGGUAGUGGAAUUCCAGGUGUAGGAGUGAAAUGCGUAGAUAUCUGGAGGAACAUCAGUGGCGAAGGCGACAAUCUGGCAGAUAACUGACGCUGAGGAGUGAAAGCGUGGGUAGCAAACAGGAUUAGAUACCCUGGUAGUC
rnacentral:rRNA from 1 species